AACUAAGUGGCCGGAAGCGGUGGCUCAUGCCGGUUAUCUCAACUUCCAUCAGGCCUCAGCUGAAAGCUCAUCUGCCAAAAUGCAUCAGCACUCAUGUAAAAUAAAAGGAGUAGGGAGGUGACUUUGUACACAUACUGUCCAGUGUUUGGCUUCCAGUUUCCCUCUUGUGUGUAACUAUUCUAGGCCCUGUCUGACCUGCAGCCGGCUGUUGAGGCGGCCCUAGUCGGCCUCCUUCUGGUGAUCUGUUUCUUGUGCGUGUCCACCAACAGCAAGAGGUCCGAAUUGCCCUUUUCCAGCCGCUCGCGGGCCACUUCGGUGCGCCGGACCUGGCCCUGCAGCUCGGCCACCUCCUCCUGAAGCAGGACGUGGCAGGUAGAGAUGCUCCAGCAGUUGAAGGUGAGGACGACGGUCACUACCAGCAGCACCACCAGCACGAGAGAAGGCAGGCGGCGAGCCGGCCGGUUGGCCCCGAAACCCACCAUGAGGCCAAAUCGGGCUGUACCCUAGAGGCCUCGCCGCAGACACCUGCAGGCAGAAGCCCAGGCCUCAGCUGGAGUUCCCCGGGGGACACGGCCCCAGGGCCGGCAGAGGGAGCAGGCG
rnacentral:lncRNA from 1 species